ACACUCGCCCACCGACAAUAAAGAAUCUCAAAAUCCAACCUCAGGCAGGGGACCCAUCCAGCUCAGCUCCGUCAUUCCACCGACGGCGUAUUUCGCCGUCCUUCCUCCUACAGUGCAACCGGAGCGGCGGAUGGUUCACCAAUCUCACGCCUCACAUAUAUAUAUAUAUUACGAUUCAAACCAUGGACUGAUCUAGCAGGAAGACGAGAAUGUGGAAAGCGUGGUGGCGGAGGAAGUUCUCGGAGUCGCCGCCGCUUGCUUCAAAACCACCGCCGG
rnacentral:lncRNA from 1 species